rnacentral:tRNA from 1 species
GCUUGCGAUGGCGGAGGCGGGGGCGGGGGCGGCGUAGCGCCGCCGGCGCUGGGCGUGACCGGCGGCAACUGGAUCGAUACCGGUUGCAGGCC